rnacentral:rRNA from 1 species
CCCUUAGAUGUUCUGGGCUGCACGCGCGCUACACUGAUACUUUCAGCGAGUCCACCACCUUGCCUGAGAGGGUGGGGUAACCUCUGGAAAGUGUAUCGUGAUGGGGAUCGAUUAUUGUAAUUAUUAAUCUUCAACGAGGAAUUCCUAGUAAGCACAAGUCAUCAGCUUGUGUUGAUUACGUCCCUGCCCUUUGUACACACCGCCCGUCGCUCCUACCGAUUGAAUGUUCCGGUGAGCUCUUCGGACUGCGCGGUCUGCAGUUUCUGCGUUCCGUGCGGAAAGUUGCGCAAACCUUAACAUUUAGAGGAAGGAGAAGUCGUAACA